rnacentral:rRNA from 1 species
AUUGAACGCUGGCGGCAGGCCUAACACAUGCAAGUCGAGCGGAUGAAGGGAGCUUGCUCCUGGAUUCAGCGGCGGACGGGUGAGUAAUGCCUAGGAAUCUGCCUGGUAGUGGGGGAUAACGUCCGGAAACGGGCGCUAAUACCGCAUACGUCCUGAGGGAGAAAGUGGGGGAUCUUCGGACCUCACGCUAUCAGAUGAGCCUAGGUCGGAUUAGCUAGUUGGUGGGGUAAAGGCCUACCAAGGCGACGAUCCGUAACUGGUCUGAGAGGAUGAUCAGUCACACUGGAACUGAGACACGGUCCAGACUCCUACGGGAGGCAGCAGUGGGGAAUAUUGGACAAUGGGCGAAAGCCUGAUCCAGCCAUGCCGCGUGUGUGAAGAAGGUCUUCGGAUUGUAAAGCACUUUAAGUUGGGAGGAAGGGCAUUAAGUUAAUACCUUGCUGUUUUGACGUUACCAACGGAAUAAGCACCGGCUAACUUCGUG